UGCAACUUGACUCUCCUCUAGGAAGAGUAC
rnacentral:piRNA from 1 species